UGACCUCACAGCCAUCCUUCCCACCGCCAGGCCCAGGAGGUUGGGGGAGACUAACCUGGCAAGGAGCCCCCAAUGAGCCACCUCUCCUCACCCCCCAAAAAACAUAAGGGGGAGCACAAAGGCCACAGUCUCCCCCAUGGUUCAGAAAGGGGUAGCUCCUCCCGGGACAAGGACCGAAGUGCGACGGUCAGUAGUUCAGUGCCCAUGCCUGCUGGAGGGAAGGGAAGCCAUCCUUCAUCUGCACCCCAGAGGGUCCCCAACCGCCUGAUCCACGAGAAGUCACCAUACCUCCUACAACAUGCCUACAAUCCUGUGGACUGGUACCCCUGGGGACAGGAAGCCUUCGACAAGGCCAGGAAAGAAAACAAGCCGAUUUUCCUCUCAGUCGGGUACUCCACCUGCCACUGGUGCCACAUGAUGGAAGAGGAGUCCUUCCAGAAUGAGGAGAUCGGCCGCUUGCUCAGUGAGGACUUCGUGAGCGUGAAGGUAGACCGUGAGGAGCGGCCUGACGUCGACAAGGUGUACAUGACGUUCGUGCAGGUGAGCAGCCCUCCUCGGGAGUGUAUGCGCCACAUGGGGUCAGGGCAGCUCCCCUCACCCUCGCUCUCUCUCUGCCAGGCCACCAGCAGUGGCGGGGGCUGGCCCAUGAAUGUGUGGCUGACUCCCAACCUCCAGCCCUUUGUCGGGGGCACCUAUUUCCCUCCUGAGGAUGGCUUGACCCGAGUCGGCUUCCGCACAGUGUUGCUGAGAAUACGAGAACAGUGGAAACAGAACAAGAACACCCUGCUAGAAAAUAGCCAGCGUGUCACCACCGCCCUGCUGGCCCGAUCAGAGAUCAGCGUGGGUGACCGCCAGCUGCCGCCCUCUGCCGCCACCAUGAACAAUCGCUGCUUCCAGCAGCUGGACGAGGGCUAUGAUGAGGAAUAUGGUGGCUUCGCUGAGGCCCCCAAGUUUCCCACGCCGGUGAUCUUGAGCUUCCUGUUCUCCUACUGGCUCAGCCAUCGACUGACUCAGGAUGGCUCUCGGGCCCAGCAGAUGGCCUUGCAUACCCUGAAAAUGAUGGCUAACGGGGGCAUCCGGGACCACGUGGGGCAGGGCUUUCACCGAUACUCCACAGACCGCCAGUGGCACGUCCCUCACUUUGAGAAGAUGCUCUAUGACCAGGCACAGCUCGCUGUGGCCUAUUCGCAGGCCUUCCAGAUCUCUGGCGAUGAAUUCUACUCUGAUAUGGCCAAAGGCAUCCUGCAGUACGUGGCUCGGAGCCUGAGCCACCGGUCUGGAGGCUUCUAUAGCGCUGAGGAUGCAGACUCGCCCCCAGAGCGGGGCAUGCGGCCCAAAGAGGGCGCCUACUAUGUGUGGACGGUCAAAGAGGUUCAGCAGCUCCUCCCGGAGCCUGUGCUGGGUGCCACCGAGCCGCUGACCUCAGGCCAGCUCCUGAUGAAGCACUACGGCCUCACGGAGGCUGGUAACAUCAGCCCCAGUCAGGACCCCAAGGGGGAGCUGCAGGGCCAGAAUGUGCUGACCGUCCGGUACUCGCUGGAGCUGACUGCUGCCCGCUUUGGCUUGGAUGUGGAGGCCGUGCGGACCUUGCUUAAUACAGGGCUGGAGAAGCUCUUCCAGGCCCGGAAGCAUCGGCCCAAGCCACACCUGGACAGCAAGAUGCUGGCUGCCUGGAAUGGUGGGGCAGCAUCUCUGAGACCGAGCCUGUCUGUAGGAUCCCCCUUCACAAAGCCUCUGUCUGUCCGGCACCUGCUAAAUGCUCACUCUCCCUUUAUUAGCGUUAUUAUUCUCAGUUGACAAAAGAGGCUUAAGGAGCUUGAGUAACCUGCCCAAGGUCACACACAAGGGCUGGGAACCCCGCCGUGUCUGGCUUUGGAGCCCAAGAUCUUAGGGAUCACCCAUGGCUCCAGGGAGGUAUUGGGGCCUGAGGUGAUGGGGUGGACAUGCCUGGAGGGUCCUGGCCAGCUUCUCACCACUACUUGUCUCUCCUGGCUCCAGGCUUGAUGGUGUCAGGCUAUGCUGUGACUGGGGCUGUCCUGGGCCAAGACAGGCUGAUCAACUAUGCCACCAAUGGUGCCAAGUUCCUGAAGCGGCACAUGUUUGAUGUGGCCAGUGGCCGCCUGAUGCGGACCUGCUACACCGGCUCUGGGGGGACUGUGGAGCACAGGUUGGGGGCUGGGUAGACCGGGAGGGCUCGUCUCCCCACGCGUCCCCAGCCUACCUCUGCCCUACUUCUCCCCUCCAUGUGGACUCCAGUCCUGGCUUUGCCAGGUGCUUUCUGUGAGUUUGUAGCCUCCCUGGGCCCGUUUACUCAUCUGGGAAGUGGGCUGAUGGCACCUGCCCAAGAGGGUUUAUAUGGAGGGUUAAGUGAACAAAUGCGUGAAAGGGUCUCCUCUGGGAAAGGCCCACUCUCCUGGGACUCUCCCCAGCCUCUCCCCUAAUGCCUGUCCCCCAGCAACCCACCCUGCUGGGGCUUCCUGGAGGACUACGCCUUCGUGGUGCGGGGCCUGCUGGACCUGUAUGAGGCCUCACAGGAGAGUGCGUGGCUCGAGUGGGCUCUGCGGCUGCAGGACACACAGGACAGGCUCUUUUGGGACUCCCAGGGUGGCGGCUACUUCUGCAGUGAGGCUGAGCUGGGGGCUGGCCUGCCCCUGCGUCUGAAGGACGACCAGGAUGGAGCAGAGCCCAGCGCCAAUUCCGUGUCAGCCCACAACCUGCUCCGGCUGCAUGGCUUCACUGGCCACAAGGACUGGAUGGACAAGUGUGUGUGCCUAUUGACCGCCUUCUCGGAGCGCAUGCGCCGUGUCCCGGUGGCAUUGCCCGAGAUGGUCCGUGCCCUCUCAGCCCAGCAGCAGACCCUCAAGCAGAUCGUGAUCUGUGGAGACCGCCAGGCCAAGGACACCAAGGCCCUGGUGCAGUGCGUCCACUCUGUCUACAUUCCUAACAAGGUGCUGAUUCUGGCUGAUGGGGACCCCUCGAGCUUCCUGUCCCGCCAGCUGCCUUUCCUGAGUACCCUCCGACGGUUGGAAGACCAGGCCACUGCAUAUGUGUGUGAGAAUCAAGCCUGCUCAAUGCCCAUCACUGAUCCCUGUGAAUUACGAAAACUGCUACAUCCAUGACUGCCCCAACCCCCUUGGGCUGGGGCAGAAGGUGAAGCAUCCCAACUGACUAGAGACUCAGGCCCUGCAGGGCCCUAUAGAACCUGUGGCCAUCCCUGAGCACCCUGCCACCAGGUGACCUCGGCCAUACUCACUGCCCCCCUUGGGCACCCACUCACCCUAGAAUAAACUUAACGGUGUCCCGUGGUAA
rnacentral:sRNA from 1 species